AGCCUAAUACAUGCUUGGAGAAGCUUUGUGAGAGAAUCUUAAUAUCUACUUCCUCGUGAUCUUUCUUCUCUUUCCUCUCCGUUAAUCUCACUGCAUUAUCUUCUACACUUUCCUCAGGUUGAACCAGAGAUCGGAGAUAAAAUUCCUCAGAGAAAAAAGUCACGGUUCUUUUCUCUUUCGCUCUCUCGAGAUCUCAAACAAUUUUGAUCGGUUUCUUCUGCCGUGAUCCGCCAAAACACGCUGUCGUCGGCAAGAAUGGAAGGACUAACGUCUCCGGGAACGAUGCCUUCGCCGCGAUCUGCAACAAGUACGACCGAUACGACAUCUACAAGUAGAAAGACUCUAACGUCUCCGGUGCCCAUGCCUUCGCUCACCUCUACUCCGCCAUCAAGUCCGACAUUGAAGAUGCUCUUCAAGUUUGGUCUCUUUCUCAGUCUCUCUCGAUUCUCUUAAUUUGAUCUCUGUUUGGUUUCCGGAAAAGUUCGUGAAGUUGAAACGCGAUAAUGUCAUAUCCGGACAAAGCGGAGCUUGCUUCAAAAGAAAAAAGUAUGGCAUCUGCAGGUGCUCUGACUGCCAAGAUUCGCCGGACCAAGGCUCCAUUGCUUGAAGAGGUUCCCAAGUUGCAGAGAUUGGGUGUAAAGAAGUGCAGUCAUCUGCAUAUAUGCUAGAACUUGUUUAGCGCUGGAAGGUGAUUUUGGAUGGGUAUUGAUUGGAAAAAAGAUGAUUGCUUUUGAAGAAAAUUCUUGGCAGGUUCUUGGCCCAGAAAAUUUGCAAUCGGAAAAGCUGAAGUGUGUAACUGUGUAUAUUUGAAUCUAUAAGGUUCCUAGUUGUUGACCAUGUACUACUUUUGUGUACCAUGAUCCUUGGUGGGUAACGUUGGUGGUUGUACACUUUUUCGUUUGAGGUAUAAUUAAUGUAAUGCAACCAUUAGAUCAUAUUGCAAUGAUUUUAUAAGUG